rnacentral:rRNA from 1 species
UACGGAGGGGGCUAGCGUUGUUCGGAAUUACUGGGCGUAAAGCGCGCGUAGGCGGACCUGCAAGUCGGGGGUGAAAGCCCGAGGCUCAACCUCGGAACUGCCUUCGAUACUGCGGGUCUCGAGUCCGGGAGAGGUGAGUGGAAUUCCUAGUGUAGAGGUGAAAUUCGUAGAUAUUAGGAAGAACACCAGUGGCGAAGGCGGCUCACUGGCCCGGUACUGACGCUGAUGCGCGAAAGCGUGGGUAGCAAACGGG